rnacentral:rRNA from 1 species
GAUGAACGCUGGCGGCGUGCCUAACACAUGCAAGUCGAACGAGAUGCGUAUCGGAAAGCUUCGGCCGGAAGAUACGUUAUCUAGUGGCGGACGGGUGAGUAACACGUGGGUAACCUGCCUUAUGGAGGGGGACAACAGAGAGAAAUCACUGCUAAUACCGCAUAAGCACACAGUACCGCAUGGUACAGGGUGAAAAGAUUUAUCGCCAUAAGAUGGACCCGCGUCUGAUUAGCCAGUUGGCAGGGUAAAAGCCUACCAAAGCAACGAUCAGUAGCCGAUCUGAGAGGAUGACCGGCCACAUUGGGACUGAGACACGGCCCAAACUCCUACGGGAGGCAGCAGUGGGGAAUAUUGCACAAUGGGGGAAAUCCUGAUGCAGCGACGCCGCGUGAGUGAAGAAGUAUUUCGGUAUGUAAAGCUCUAUCAGCAGGGAAGAUAAUGACAGUACCUGACUAAGAAGCCCCGGCUAACUACGUGCCAGCAGCCGCGGUAAUACGUAGGGGGCAAGCGUUAUCCGGAUUUACUGGGUGUAAAGGGAGCGUAGACGGAAUGGCAAGUCUGAAGUGAAAUACCCGGGCUCAACCUGGGAACUGCUUUGGAAACUGUUGUUCUAGAGUGUUGGAGAGGUAAGUGGAAUUCCUGGUGUAGCGGUGAAAUGCGUAGAUAUCAGGAAGAACACCGGAGGCGAAGGCGGCUUACUGGACAAUAACUGACGUUGAGGCUCGAAAGCGUGGGGAUCAAACAGGAUUAGAUACCCUGGUAGUCCACGCUGUAAACGAUGAAUACUAGGUGUCGGGGUGCAAAGCAUCU